rnacentral:rRNA from 1 species
AGCGAACGCUGGCGGCAGGCCUAACACAUGCCAGUCGAACGAACUCUUCGGAGUUAGUGGCGGACGGGUGAGUAACACGUGGGAACGUGCCUUUUGGUUCGGAAUAACUCAGGGAAACUUGUGCUAAUACCGAAUGUGCCCUUCGGGGGAAGGUUUUAUCGCCAUUAGAGCGGCCGGCGUCCGAUUAGCUGGUUGGGUGGGUAACGGCUCACCAAGGGGACGAUCAGUAGCUGGUUUGAGAGGCUGACCAGCCACACUGGGACUGAGACACGGCCCAGACUCCUACGGGAGGCAGCAGUGGCGAAUCUUGCGAAAUGGGCGAAAGGCUGACGCAGCCAUGCCGCGUGAAUGAUGAAGGUCUUAGGAUUGUAAAAUUCUUUCACCGGGGACGAUAAUGACGGUACCCGGAGAAGAAGCCCCGGCUAACUUCGUG